GGCCAGACUCCUACGGGAGGCAGCAGUGGGGGAUAUUGCACAAUGGGGGAAACCCUGAUGCAGCGACGCCGCGUGGGCGAAGAAGUAUUUCGGUAUGUAAAGCCCUCUCAGCAGGGAAGAAGAAAUGACGGUACCUGAGUAAGAAGCACCGGCUAAAUACGUGCCAGCAGCCGCGGUAAUACGUAUGGUGCAAGCGUUAUCCGGAUUUACUGGGUGUAAAGGGGGCGCAGACGGCGAUGCAAGCCAGGAGUGAAAGCCCGGGGCCCAACCCCGGGACUGCUCUUGGAACUGCGUGGCUGGAGUGCAGGAGGGGCAGGCGGAAUUCCUGGUGUAGCGGUGAAAUGCGUAGAUAUCAGGAGGAACACCGGUGGCGAAGGCGGCCUGCUGGACUGCAACUGACGUUGAGGCCCGAAAGCGUGGGGAGCAAACAGGAUUAGAUACCCUCGUAC
rnacentral:rRNA from 1 species